UACGACUACAUAUCAGGCAUAUCAAUAAGCGGAGGAAAAGAAACUAACUAGGAUUCCCUUAGUAACGGCGAGUGAAGCGGGAAGAGCUCAAAUUUGAAAUCUUCAAGGUUUUACCUUGACGAAUUGUAGUUUAAAGAAGUGUUUUCUGUUGGUGUCUUGGUAAAAGUUCUUUGGAAUAGGACAUCAUAGAGGGUGAGAAUCCCGUAUUUGACCAUUACUUCCAGCGUUGUGAUACACUUUCAAAGAGUCGGAUUGUUUGGGAAUGCAGUCCAAAAUGGGUGGUAAAUUUCAUCUAAAGCUAAAUAUUGGCGAGAGACCGAUAGCGAACAAGUACCGUGAGGGAAAGAUGAAAAGAACUUUGAAAAGAGAGUUAAACAGUACGUGAAAUUGUCAAAAGGGAAGCGUUUGACAUCAGUGUUGUUUUUCCGAAAAUCAAUUACGAAUGUUUUGUUUUUGAGGAGUUAUGACUUCAUCGGCUUGCUCCUUUCUUUACGAAACUUUCUUAAUGCACUUUUCGGUUAACAAGUCAACAUCAAUUUCUUUUGUUGUAAAAGGGUAUGAGGAAGGUGGCUUUCUUUUCGGAGAAAGUGUUUAUAGCCUUGUGCCUCUGCAAUCGGAGAGAUUGAGGUCUGCAGCGUAGAUCCUUCGGGGUUAGAUACGUUUGUGCUAAGUUAUAGCUUUUCAUAGACAACUUGUUGACUAUGAUUAAGUCAUGUAGCUUACUCGUUGACGCUAUUUUACCUACGCUUAGGAUGUUGAAUCUGUGCGAGACUAC
rnacentral:rRNA from 1 species